AUACGUAGGUGACAAGCGUUAUCCGGAUUUACUGGGCGUAAAGGGCGUGUAGGCGGUCUUGCAAGUCAGAAGUGAAAUUCCCGGGCUUAACUUGGGCGCUGCUUCUGAAACUGCUUUACUUGAGUGCUGGAGAGGAUAGUGGAAUUCCUAGUGUAGCGGUAAAAUGCGCAGAUAUUAGGAGGAACACCGGUGGCGAAGGCGGCUAUCUGGACAGUAACUGACGCUGAGGCGCGAAAGCACGGGGAGCAAACAGGAUUAGAUACCCUGGUAGUCCGUGCCGUAAACGAUGAAUACUAGGUGUAGGGGGUAUCGACUCCCUCUGUGCCGCAGUUAACACAAUAAGUAUUCCGCCUGGGGAGUACGGCCGCAAGGUUGAAACUCAAAUGAAUUGACGGGG
rnacentral:rRNA from 1 species